rnacentral:rRNA from 1 species
UACGUAGGUGGCGAGCGUUGUCCGGAUUUAUUGGGUUUAAAGGGUGCGUAGGCGGCUUUGUAAGUCAGUGGUGAAAUACUCUAGCUUAACUAGAGGGGUGCCAUUGAUACUGCGGAGCUUGAGUACAGAUGAGGUAGGCGGAAUUGACGGUGUAGCGGUGAAAUGCUUAGAUAUCGUCAAGAACACCGAUAGUGAAGACAGCUUACCAAGCUUCAACUGACGCUGAGGCACGAAAGUGUGGGGAUCAAACAGG